rnacentral:rRNA from 1 species
GUGAAAUUGUUGAAAGGGAAACGCUUGAAACCAGUCAUGUGGUUGGAAAAUCAGUGUUCAACUGGGGGGAAUGGGGGAGGUGUGGACCGCAAGGCUGCUCUUUUCUAUAUCUCUUUUGUUGGGCAUGCACUUUUUCUUCUGCAGGUCAACAUCAGUUUCUUUUGCUGGACAAAACUCUUGAGAAGGUAGCAGCUUAGGCUGUGUUAUAGCUCUGGAGCGAUACAGUGGAGGAGACUGAGGUUUUCGCAGCAUGUGCUCUCGGGCAAGGCCAAUUGGGUGCUAUGGGAUCGUUCGGGGUACAAUACAUGUAUUUUGCCUCGUGUCUUUUCUAUACUCGUUCAGUUGAGCUCUUCCAUGCUUAGGAUGUUGACUUAAUGGUUUUAAUCGACCCGUCUUGAAACACGGACCAAGGAGUCUAACAUAUAUGCAAGUGUUUGGGUGGCAAACCCAUGCGCGUAAUGAAAGUGAACGUAGGUGCCAUCCGCAAGGUGCAGCAUCGACCGAUCUUGAUAUUUUUGGAUAGAUUUGAGUAAGAGCAUAUAUGCUGGGACCCGAAAGAUGGUGAACUAUGCCUGAAUAGGGUGAAGCCAGAGGAAACUCUGGUGGAGGCUCGUAGCGAUUCUGACGUGCAAAUCGAUCGUCAAAUUUGGGUAUAGGGGCG